UGAGUGUUCCUUUCCCUAAAAAAAAAAGUGCUGCCUAAACAAUAGCAGAUAUUAUUAAAGUGGACCUGCCAUUGUACAGAAGACUUAAUGCUGUAAAGGAGAGUGAAGGAUGUAGACAGUGCCGUUUACUUUCUCAAAGAUGAAAUUUUUAGUGUAAUCUGGAAGUA